UAGGGAAUUUUCGUCAAUGGGCGCAAGCCUGAACGAGCAAUGCCGCGUGAACGAGGAAGGUCUUCGGAUCGUAAAGUUCUGUUGAGAGGGAAAAAGGGUCACCAGAGGAAAUGCUGGUGAAGUGAUAUUACCUUUCGAGGAAGUCACGGCUAACUACGUGCCAGCAGCCGCGGUAAUACGUAGGUGGCGAGCGUUAUCCGGAAUGAUUGGGCGUAAAGGGUGCGUAGGCGGCCUGUUAAGUCUGGAGUGAAAGGUACCGGCUCAACCGGUAUAGGCUUUGGAAACUGGCAGGCUGGAGGACAGGAGAGGGCGGUGGAACUCCAUGUGUAGCGGUAAAAUGCGUAGAUAUAUGGAAGAACACCAGUGGCGAAGGCGGCCGCCUGGCCUGUUACUGACGCUGAGGCACGAAAGCGUGGGGAGCAAAUAGGAUUAGAUACC
rnacentral:rRNA from 1 species